rnacentral:misc_RNA from 1 species
GUAUAUAGUUUAUAGGCACUAGGCCCAAUGAUACAUUCUGUUACAUUCUUUGGGGUAUGUGAAAACAUAGGCCUGGACAUGCAAGAAAAGCCGGCGGUGACGCGCAGCAGUCCUCUCAACCGAGUUGCCUCGGAAAGUUUUACAUCCAGGUCUACAAAAAGUGCACAGGUGGAAAGAUAAAGAUGACGGGUGUGCACAUGCCCCCGAAGAGGGCCAGCUUCAACCACAUCAGUUUUAUUCAAUAAUGAUCCUUCCGCAGGUUCACCUACGGAAA